CAAUAGCGUAUAUUAAAGUUGUUGCAGUUAAAAAGCUCGUAGUUGGAUUUGUGGCGUACGGUGUGUUCCGGGCACUUGUUGUCUGAGUAACCUGCUGUUGCCAUCCCUGGGUGGAACCUGUGUGGCAUUAGGUUGUCGUGCAGGGGAUGCCCAUCAUUUACUGUGAAAAAAUUAGAGUGUUCAAAGCAGGCUUAUGCCGUUGAAUAUAUUAGCAUGGAAUAAUGAGAUAGGACUUUUUUGCUAUUUUGUUGGUUUGCGCAAAGAGGUAAUGAUUAAUAGGGACAGUUGGGGGUAUUCGUAUUCCAUUGUCAGAGGUGAAAUUCUUGGAUUUUUGGAAGACGAACUACUGCGAAAGCAUUUACCAAGGAUGUUUUCAUUAA
rnacentral:rRNA from 1 species